UGCUGUGGAUGAUGAGAUAUUUAAUUUACAGUUAUCCCUGUCUGAUGUAGCAGGUGAUGAAGUUUUGUAAUCUGACCAGCA